rnacentral:rRNA from 1 species
CCAGAGAACUUAGCAGAGAUGCUUUGGUGCCUUCGGGAACUCUGAGACAGGUGCUGCAUGGCUGUCGUCAGCUCGUGUUGUGAAAUGUUGGGUUAAGUCCCGCAACGAGCGCAACCCUUAUCCUUUGUUGCCAGCGGCUCGGCCGGGAACUCAAAGGAGACUGCCGGUGAUAAACCGGAGGAAGGUGGGGAUGACGUCAAGUCAUCAUGGCCCUUACGGCCAGGGCUACACACGUGCUACAAUGGCGCAUACAAGAGAAGCGACCUCGCGAGAGCAAGCGGACCUCAUAAAGUGCGUCGUAGUCCGGAUUGGAGUCUGCAACUCGACUCCAUGAAGUCGGAAUCGCUAGUAAUCGUAGAUCAGAAUGCUACGGUGAAUACGUUCCCGGGCCUUGUACACACCGCCCGUCACACCAUGGGAGUGGGUUGCAAAAGAAGUAGGUAGCUUAACCUUCGGGAGGGCGCUUACCACUUUGUGAUUCAUGACUGGGGUGAAGUCGUAACAAGGUAAGCGUAGCGAG